UACGGAGGGGGCGAGCGUUGUCCGAAGUUACUGGGCGUAAAGCGCGCGUAGGCGGGUUGCUAAGUCCGCUGUGAAAGCCCGAGGCUUAACCUCGGAGGGUCGGUGGAUACUGGCAGUCUUGAAGGUGGUAGAGGGAAGUGGAAUUACCGGUGUAGCGGUGAAAUGCGUAGAUAUCGGUAGGAACACCAGUGGCGAAGGCGGCUUCCUGGCCCACUCUUGACGCUGAGGAGCGAAAGUGUGGGGAGCGAACAGG
rnacentral:rRNA from 1 species